GGCCGGAGUGGCGGAAUUGGCAGACGCGCCGGAUUCAAAAUCCGGUAUUCGCAAGAAUGUGUCGGUUCGAGUCCGACCUCGGCUA
rnacentral:tRNA from 1 species